rnacentral:rRNA from 1 species
UACGUAGGGGGCAAGCGUUGUCCGGAUUUCCUGGGCGUAAAGAGCGUGUAGGCGGCCAAGCUGGUUCGUUGUGAAAACUGGAGGCUUAACCUCCAGACGUCGACGGAAACCGCGUGGCUAGAGUCCGGAAGAGGAGAGUGGAAUUCCUGGUGUAGCGGUGAAAUGCGCAGAUAUCAGGAAGAACACCAAUGGCGAAGGCAGCUCUCUGGGACGGUACUGACGCUGAGACGCGAAAGCGUGGGGAGCGAACAGG